UGCAACUCGACUACACGAAGCCGGAAUCGCUAGUAAUCGCGAAUCAGAAUGUCGCGGUGAAUACGUUCCCGGGUCUUGUACACACCGCCCGUCACACCAUGGGAGUCUGCAAUGCCCGAAGCCGGUGGCCUAACCACUUAUGUGGAAGGAGCCGUCUAAGGCAGGGCAGAUGACUGGGGUGAAGUCGUAACAAGGUAAC
rnacentral:rRNA from 1 species